rnacentral:rRNA from 1 species
GUGUCAGCAGCCGCGGUAAUACGGAGGGUGCAAGCGUUGCUCGGAAUCAUUGGGCGUAAAGCGUACGCAGGCUGUUCGUUAAGUCGGGUGUGAAAGCCCAGGGCUCAACCCUGGAAUGGCGCCCGAAACUGGCGGGCUUGAGUGCGGGAGAGGGAAGCGGAAUUCCUGGUGUAGAGGUGAAAUUCGUAGAUAUCAGGAGGAACACCGGUGGCGAAAGCGGCUUCCUGGCCCGACACUGACGCUCAUGUACGAAAGCGUGGGGAGCAAACAGGAUUAGAUACCCUGGUAGUCCACGCCGUAAACGAUGAGUGCUAGCUGCUGGGAAUGUUUACCGUCUCAGUGGCGAAGCUAACGCAUUAAGCACUCCGCCUGGGAAGUACGGCCGCAAGGCUAAA